rnacentral:rRNA from 1 species
GCACUGACUGCUAUCGGAUUGAUACUAAGCCAUGCGAGUCAUUGUAGUAAUACAAGGCAGACGGCUCAGUAACGCGUAGUCAACCUAACCUAUGGGCGGGAAUAACCUCGGGAAACUGAGUAUAAUGCCCGAUAGAACAUUAUGCCUGGAAUGGUUUAUGUUCCAAAUGAUUUAUCGCCGUAGGAUGGGACUGCGGCCUAUCAGUUUGUUGGUGAGGUGAUGGCCCACCAAGACUAUUACAGGUACGGGCUCUGAGAGGAGUAGCCCGGAGAUGGGUACUGAGACACGGACCCAGGCCCUAUGGGGCGCAGCAGGCGAGAAAACUUUGCAAUGUGCGAAAGCACGACAAGGUUAAUCCGAGUGGUUUCUGCUAAAGGAACCUUUUGUCGGUCCUAGAAACACCGAUGAAUAAGGGGUGGGCAAGUUCUGGUGUCAGCCGCCGCGGUAAAACCAGCACCUCAAGUGGUCAGGAUGAUUAUUGGGCCUAAAGCAUCCGUAGCCGGCUCUGUAAGUUUUCGGUUAAAUCUGUACGCUCAACGUACAGGCUGCCGGGAAUACUGCAGAGCUAGGGAGUGGGAGGGGUAGACGGUACUCGGUAGGAGGGGUAAAAUCCUUUGAUCU